GAUGAACGCUGGCGGCGUGCCUAAUACAUGCAAGUCGAGCGAGCAGACGAGGAGCUUGCUCCUCUGACGUUAGCGGCGGACGGGUGAGUAACACGUGGAUAACCUACCUAUAAGACUGGGACAACUUCGGGAAACCGGAGCUAAUACCGGAUAAUAUAUUGAACCGCAUGGUUCAAUAGUGAAAGACGGUUUUGCUGUCACUUAUAGAUGGAUCCGCGCCGCAUUAGCUAGUUGGUAAGGUAACGGCUUACCAAGGCAACGAUGCGUAGCCGACCUGAGAGGGUGAUCGGCCACACUGGAACUGAGACACGGUCCAGACUCCUACGGGAGGCAGCAGUAGGGAAUCUUCCGCAAUGGGCGAAAGCUUGACGGAGCAACGCCGCGUGAGUGAUGAAGGUCUUCGGAUCGUAAAACUCUGUUAUUAGGGAAGAACAAAUGUGUAAGUAACUAUGCACGUCUUGACGGUACCUAAUCAGAAAGCCACGGCUAACUACGUG
rnacentral:rRNA from 1 species